GCCAAGGUUUGUCUUCUCCUUUAUAUGAAUUAUACAAAUACGUUUUUGUAUUCAAUGUAUGCAGUGAUCGAAUUAGAGUGACCCACCAUGAUGUUAAUUUAGUUUACUUGUAUUCCCUUUGAUUUUCCCUUAUUAUUGUCAAAAAUUACUUUCUACUGCUUGUGUUGCUUGUCUUAAUCUGGGCAGAAAGACAGACUUAUAACUUUCUUUUGGUAGAACAUUGGAUAGAAGGUGAGCCUUGGCAUGAUUGCUCCUUUGAAACCAGUUGUGGAAACAACUUCUUUGUGUGCGCGCUUGAGUGUCCGCACGAGAGAGAGAGAGAGAGA
rnacentral:misc_RNA from 1 species